rnacentral:lncRNA from 1 species
CUAGUGAAUUUUGACUGACUUUUAAGAAUUCUCUUAAGUUGAAAGUGAUGGGAGCUGGCUCGUGGCCGAGUGGUUAAGUUUGUGCGCUCUGCUUUGGUGGCCUGGGGUUUCACCGGUUCGGUGCCUGGGCUUGGACAUGGCAUGGCUCAUCAGGCCAUGCUGAGACAGCAUCCCACAUAGCAGAGCCAGAGGAACUCACAACUAGAAUAUACAACUAUGUACUGGGGGGGCUUUGGGGAGAAGAAGAAAAAGUAAAAAAUAAAGAAAGUGACGUUUCACUCUUAACUUUACGUGAAUGGGUCACAUCUUACUUUCUCUUCUGCUUUUGAAAAUACCACCGUCCUUUCUUGAAGAACUGGCGACGUUCAGAACCUGUGUGAGCAAAGACAAUUGUUUCAUGACUGACUUCUAUAACUGGCAACUGGCAAGGUUCUUCAAAAUUGAUUGUGCCAUGCUGGCGUCCGCUCUCCUCCUCCCGGAUGGGCUCUCUCCUACUGUGGGUCCCUCUGUAAUCCCUCAUGGCACUGGGAAUGAUCUCUGAAGGAACAGUUUUACACCACGUGCUUUGUGCUGCCUUCAGGAAACUUGCAGCCUUGACCUCUGUGGCACGCUCCCUGGUGCCCAGCUCACCACUCCCUGCUGUCUUCAAGGUUGCAUCGUGACUUCUGAGGCAGCUUCCUCCUGCUGGGGGCUGUCCAUGCCUCUGCUGGCACUCCUGCCUGGUGCUUAUCCUCCCAGAUGCUCUGAGGCUCUUUAGCUGCCUUGAGCCCCAGGUAUUGCAGUGAGAGCCCAGAGACACAUGUUUUGCUCUGACCAUUGAUUAUAAUUCGUCUGUCUCCACCCAUGAGCCAAUUCAGCGCCAGAACAGUGCUUCUUUCUGUUGAAGCUCAUUUUAAUGUUUCCAUUUCAGUUGCCUCCAAAACUACAUUUAUUCAAGACUGAGGUCAUAGAGGUCCCCCUGUGACCCCACGGGUCGGCCAUAUUCCCCCUUCUGCUUUGGGCUGUGGAUAGCAUGGCUGAAACCUCCCCCGAUCCUGCCCUUCCUGCCAUCUCAUGUCCCUUUUUCAAAACCAUAUUGCCACUUGUCCAGGUGGUAAAUUGUACCCAUACUGACUACCAAUAGGCUCUGUAUAAUAAUCAGAUCAUCUAGGGUGGUGCUGUCAGCAGAAGCUUCUGUGACGAUGGAAACCUUUCUCUCUGCACCCUCCAGCAUGGUGGCCACUUGCCACAUGUGGCUGUUGAGCACUUGGAAUGUGGCAAGUGUGGCUGACGCAGUGAAUUUUUAAUUUGAGUUACGUUUAAUCAAUUUCAAUGGAGAUAGCCACAUGUGGGCAGUGACUAUCGAAUUGGACAGUGCGGCCCUGGGGCAUUCAGUGGCAAGUAGAAGUGGUGGCCAGUGUAUGUCUACCUGAAGAAGACCCUGGCAAGCGUGAGGGAGCCGCUUAGCUGCCCCAGGAAGCUGAUGCUGUAUUGAUUUGGGGUCCUCCAUAGUUUACCCCUUCAUUUGCUCUGUCAACUUGCGUCUGAAGGUCAGGUUUCUG